UUAAAUUUUAAGGUUUUUUUUUUUUUAUGUAUUUCGGGUCGGGUAGUACCGAACCCAUCCCUAACCUGAACAAGGGAAAAAAAAUCUUACUCGCUCAUGUCGGUUUGGAUCAGUAUUUAUCGGGUUCGGGUCACCAUCUCUAGUUAAGGCGUAAUCAUAUGAUUCUGUUAUUUUGAGUAUUUCUCUCCUUUUGGGUUCUGCCUGUUGCAUGAUCAUCAUUCUUUCCAUUGUUACAUCUAGUGCUUGAAGCACUGCAAAAUCAUUCCCACUGGCAGCAUCGGCGAUAUUCAGGACUUAUGUUGCUGGCAGUCAUGUGCCAUGUUGCAAAUUACUUCCCUAAGAAAUCUUCUGAGCCGAUUGAUUGCUGAUGAAAUGGAAGAAAAGCAAAGUUGAUUUUCUGGAAGCUUUGUUUACGCAGGCAUUGCGUUCUGCAAGCUUCAACAUCUCCUUACAAUUCCUGUUAAAAACCAAGCUGUACUUGUUAAUGAAAAAUGAGAAACAUUGGAUGUUGAAUUGAUUGUUGCAAUCCAUGACUUGCUGAGCAUGGUCUCUGCUGUGCUGGUGAGGGUGGCGAAGGGAGGAAGGAACAUCAUCUCUUGCCUUUGGACAUGAAGCUUAAAUCCAACUGAAACUCUUCCAACAUUGAAGCAAUUCAACAUGAUGAAGAGCAUUAUUGCCGGAACAAAACAUCUAAAGUUGAGCCAAUAUCAAAUACAUUGGGAGUGGAGAUGGGUGCAGCUGAAAUGGAUGAAAUAAGUGCUCCUGCGAAUGAUGGUUUUGGAGGGAAUUUCUUACGUAGUUAUAUCAUCUCCUGCAGGACUAGAGAACGACGGUGCAAGUGUAGAAUGCGGAAGCGGUGAUGAGGAUAAGAACAAAGGAGACAAGCCGAUACAAUGUAUCGAUGAACUUAAUGAAGAUGAAAGGGAGGAACUUGAGUUACUAAUUGAUAAUGCUUUGGAUCGGUGUUUUUUCUGCUUAUAUGGUCUCAACCUUCUAUCUAAUUAUUCUAAUGAUGAUGACGAUCUAGCCACUCACAAAAAUACUAGUCGUGGAGAUUAUCAGACCAAGGAACAAAGCGCUGAUGUUUUUCAGUAUAUACUGCCAAGUGCAAAGGCUUCAUCUGUGAGUAUCCUCUCUGUCAACUUCAUCUGUAUAUGCAUCUGUGCAUCAUUAUCUGACUUGUUUAAUUAUUGCCAAGGGGUCUGCACGUAACUGCAGUGCUUGUUUAUGGUAUCUCGUGCCUACACCUUUUCCAGGCAUAAUCAACCUUGGAAAUCCCAAGGCUCGUAUAAAUUUCUGAUUUCAUUCCUUGUUACGUUAUAUUUAUUUGAAUCUAUUCAUUGUGAAUAUUCCAUGCAUGUCAGAAUUGCUUCGUAGCACUCUUAUAGAUAGGAAAAUAGAAGAAAUGACAUGGAAAUGCAUGAGCUAACUCCACAUGUAACUCAAUUUUGAGGCCCUAUCGAGCUAUGUAAAUCAACAAGGAAAGUCAUGUGUUGUAAUUUUCGCUUGAAGCCAAGUAAAUAAAUAUGAGAAUUAGUUUUGUUUAUUGCAC